rnacentral:rRNA from 1 species
UGGGGGAUUUUGCACAAUGGGCGCAAGCCUGAUGCAGCGACGCCGCGUGAGGGAUGAAGGCCUUCGGGUUGUAAACCUCUUUCGCUGGGUUGAAAGGCCAUGCUUUGGGUGUGGUUGAUUUGAACUGGUAAAGAAGUACCGGCUAACUACGUGCCAGCAGCCGCGGUAAUACGUAGGGUACUAGCGUUGUCCGGAUUUAUUGGGCGUAAAGGGCUUGUAGGUGGUUUGUCGCGUCUGUCGUGAAAUCCUGUGGCUUAACCAUGGGCUUGCGGUGGGUACGGGAAGGCUGGAGUGCGGUAGGGGAGACUGGAAUUCCUGGUGUGGCGGUGGAAUGCGCAGAUAUCAGGAGGAACACCGGUGGCGAAGGCGGGUCUCUGGGCCGUUACUGACACUGAGGGGCGAAAGCGUGGGGAGCGAAAAGG